rnacentral:rRNA from 1 species
UGGGGAAUAUUGGACAAUGGGCGAAAGCCUGAUCCAGCCAUGCCGCGUGUGUGAAGAAGGUCUUCGGAUUGUAAAGCACUUUAAGUUGGGAGGAAGGGCAGUAAGCGAAUACCUUGCUGUUUUGACGUUACCGACAGAAUAAGCACCGGCUAACUCUGUGCCAGCAGCCGCGGUAAUACAGAGGGUGCAAGCGUUAAUCGGAAUUACUGGGCGUAAAGCGCGCGUAGGUGGUUCGUUAAGUUGAAUGUGAAAGCCCCGGGCUCAACCUGGGAAAUGCAUCCAAAAAUGGCGAGCUAGAGGAGGGCAGGGGGGGGUGGAAUUUCCUGUGUAGCGGUGAAAUGCGUAGGUAUAAGGAGGAACACCAGUGGCGAAGGCGACCACCUGGGCUCAUACUGACACUGAGGUGCGAAAGCGUGGGGAGCAAACAGG